rnacentral:rRNA from 1 species
UACGUAGGGACCGAGCGUUGUCCGGAAUCAUUGGGCGUAAAGAGCGUGUAGGCGGCCACUUAAGUCCUGCGUGAAAUCUUGCGGCUCAACCGCAAGCGGUCGUGGGAAACUGGGUGGCUAGAGUGCGGGAGAGGAGAGUGGAAUUCCUGGUGUAGCGGUGGAAUGCGCAGAUAUCAGGAGGAACACCGAUGGCGAAGGCAGGUCUCUGGGCCGCAACUGACGCUGAGGAGCGAAAGUGUGGGGAGCGAACAGG